GACGAACGCUGGCGGCGUGCCUAAUACAUGCAAGUCGUGCGGACCUUGUUGAAAGCUUGCUUUUAAAAGGUUAGCGGCGGACGGGUGAGUAACACGUGGGCAACCUGCCUGUAAGACUGGGAUAACGCCGGGAAACCGGGGCUAAUACCAGAUCGUUUUUUCCUCCGCAUGGAGGAAAAAGGAAAGGCGGCUUCGGCUGCCACUUACAGAUGGGCCCGCGGCGCAUUAGCUAGUUGGCGGGGUAAUGGCCCACCAAGGCAACGAUGCGUAGCCGACCUGAGAGGGUGAUCGGCCACAUUAGGACUGAGACACGGCCCAAACUCCUACGGGAGGCAGCAGUAGGGAAUCUUCCGCAAUGGACGAAAGUCUGACGGAGCAACGCCGCGUGAGUGAAGAAGGCCUUCGGGUCGUAAAACUCUGUUGCCGGGGAAGAACAAGUGCCGUUCGAACAGGGCGGCGCCUUGACGGUACCCGGCCAGAAAGCCACGGCUAACUACGUG
rnacentral:rRNA from 1 species